UACAGAGGAGCCAAGCGUUGUCCGGAUUGACUGGGCGUAAAGCGCACGCAGGCGGCCGCGCGCGUGGGGUGUGAAAUCUGGCCGCUUAACGGCCAGGCGCCAUCCCAUACGGCGCGUCUGGAGUGAUGCAGAGGUCGAUGGAAUUGCCGGUGUAGUGGUGAAAUGCGUAGAGAUCGGCAGGAACACCCAGGGGGAAACCAGGCGACUGGGCAUCUACUGACGCUGAGGUGCGAGAGCGUGGGGAGCGAACCGG
rnacentral:rRNA from 1 species